AUGUUGGGAGAGGAGAGAUGGUGCGUGGUAACGGGCGGCGUCAUUUGGUUGAAAUGCUAAUCAAAUACAAGAUGUUCACUCUUCAAUCGCCGAUUUGCCUAUUAGCAAUGACCUCGAAACGUACGAGGAAAACGGACUCCUCGAUGAAGCUUGACGUUAGGGUUGUGAUCGUUGCGCGUCCACUGAUCUUGGCCGCAAAGCUCAAGUACUAAAAGCUUUGGAAGGAGUCGAGGCAGUUCUCCACAAGGCGGCUCCUAACCGUGGAUUAAUAAUUACCAGCCUCAUCAUUGGUGGCUAAAACUGUUAUUGAGGCUUAUCUACACGACCUCGCCCACUGUCGUUUUUUAUAGGGUUCACGGAAUCUUCAUUGGCAAUGAUUCAGUUUUUAAUUUUUAUUUUCCAGCAUAAUUCGUACUCAGCGACGAAGGCUAAGGCAGAGGUAAUGGUCAUCCAGUCAAAGGGGAGUAUGGGUGUUAUGAACGGAGGUGGUGUCGAGAAGAGAGGUCUCAAUGCCAUGAACACUAUCUCUAUUGUCCUUUCCAUUUCAUUGUAUUAAAUUUUAUGCCAAAUUUAAAUCUUUAUGUAUUUCUUAAAAAAAAAUUAAAAAUAUUUUUUUUAAAACAACUAUUGAGCAUUAUAAUUAGGAUUUUAGGAAACAUUGAAUUGAUUUUAAACUUUUUUGAAUUGAGGAAAAGAUUUUUAAAUUGAUUUUAGAGUUUUAUGAACAGAAUUAAGGGUUUUUUGAAUCUGAGUUUAAAGUUUGUUGAACUAGUUUUAUGGUUCAUUGAAUUAGAUUAAAUUGGUUUAAGGAUUUCAUCAAAUCCAAUCGAAUUGAUUUAAGGGUUUUUUGAAUUGAGUUAGGAUUUGUUAAAUUGAUUUUAGGGUUUGUUAAAUCAAUUUUAAGAUUUGAUGAACAAGAUCAAUUAGG